rnacentral:sRNA from 1 species
UACUUCAUUGCCGAAGGUAGUGUCCCUGA